GUAUUGUGAAACAUCCUUUCAAUGAGAAGUUAUUGCUAGCUACAAGGAAGUUUGAAGAAACAUUAGCGAGGUUUGAACUCAUCUUCACUCUAAUUACAUGCAUUACAUAUGGUCAAAACUGCAUAUCUCCAGGAAAACUAUAAUUAUUUAUGUAAGAUAAAUUCUUGGACCCGUAUAAUGUUGUUUUUGUUAGUUAUCAAGAUUUCUCUAGCCUUCAGUUUUAAUGUCACUGUCUUGUUGUAAGUAAAAUUGAAAUUUGUUAUGUUUGAAGUAUUCAAUAUAGAAUCAAUCUCCCAGAAUGAAAAAUCUGAAUCUAUUUCUAUUUUCUACUACAACUUACGAGACAAACGCCUUACUUGGAAGUGAGUAGCCAAUAACCUAAUCACCCAACAUAAUUAUUAACUCUGACGCUAUUAGGCAACACAUUGUCUUUGCUUUGCUUUGGUACCAGUUGAUAAGAGUACCUUCUAGAGGCUUCCGUAAACUACAAAUUUGUAGAUUUGUUUUAAGUUGUUAGGAAGGUUAUGUUUACAUUAAAAAUAUCUAACGUAUAUGGUGACCACUUUCGUGUGUAUAUAUUAUUUCACAUUUAUGUUAAUUGAUUAGAAUUCA